ACCCAAUAGAUACCCGGGUAGUCCACGCUGUAAACGAUGUGUGCUAGACGUCGGGAGGCUUGCCUCUCGGUGUCGAAAGCUAAACGCGAUAAGCACACCGCCUGGGGAGUACGGCCGCAAGGUUAAAACUCAAAGGAAUUGACGGGGCCCGGCACAAGCGGUGGAGCAUGUGGUUUAAAUUUACGAAGCAACGACGCAGAACCUUACCAGCCCUUCGACAUGGGGAGUAUGGGCCGUGAGAGAUCGGGUUCCGUUCUAGUUCGGUCGUGGCGUCCCACCACAGGUGGCUGCAUGGCUGUCGUCAGCUCGUGUCGUGAGAUGUUGGGUUAAGUU
rnacentral:rRNA from 1 species